CACGUAGGCGGGAACUUAAGUCAGGUGUGAAAGACCGGGGCUCAACUCCGGGGUUGCACUUGAAACUGGGUUUCUUGAGGGCAGGAGAGGAAAGCAGAAUUCCUGGUGUAGCGGUGAAAUGCGUAGAAAUCAGGAGGAAUACCAGUGGCGAAGGCGGCUUUCUGGACUGACCCUGACGCUGAGGUGCGAAAGCGUGGGUAGCAAACA
rnacentral:rRNA from 1 species